GCAUCGAUAGCUCAGUGGCAGAGCGGUGGGGCGUUUACCCAUGCGGCCCGGGUUCGAUUCCCGGACGAUGUA